rnacentral:rRNA from 1 species
UACGUAGGUGGCAAGCGUUGUCCGGAUUUACUGGGCGUAAAGAGCGCGCAGGCGGUCGUGCAAGUCGCGUGUGAAAGCCCCCGGCUCAACUGGGGAGGGUCACGCGAUACUGCUCGACUCGAAGGCAGGAGAGGGAAGUGGAAUUCCCGGUGUAGUGGUGAAAUGCGUAGAGAUGUGGAGGAAUACCGAUGGCGAAGGCAGCCCCCUGGGCCAAUACUGACGCUCAUGCACGAAAGCGUGGGGAGCAAACAGG